GUGGAGGUAUAGAAAUAUGGUAAUCCCUUGGACGUACCCAUUCCAGCAGUACAAUCCUUGCUCAAGUGGGUCGUAAUUGUGGACAUGCUUUAUGUAUAUAAAUACACAUGCAGCCAUUUAAAAUGAAGAUGUGGUAUUAUUGCCAAAUGAGACAUCUCUCCACAAUAGACAAAAUGACACAGACAUUACCAAUUAUAGACCACAGUACGACCUUCAA
rnacentral:lncRNA from 1 species